rnacentral:lncRNA from 1 species
CAAUAACAAAAGACGGAAGCAAAAGUCGAAGCCCGGUGCGGAAAGCUUCUUGGUAUAAACAGAAGCAGCCGAGGGGAGGAGCGUUAGCCCGGCCAGUCGGCCCGGGAAGCUCCAGCUCGUACUCCGAAGGAACCCCGUACUGAAUCCUAAUCAGUGAGAGUUCCUCCGGGGUCAGAGAGCUGGAGAUGGUAUCUGGUACAAAGACCGAACGAGGUUCAUCUACAGAACUAAGAUUUUAGGAGGCUGGAAUGGACGAACUCCUAGAACUGCUAGAGGAGGAAAUGCUGGAGGAC